rnacentral:lncRNA from 1 species
GUUCUAACAAACAGCAGUACUUUUAUUCUCUAGUACCAACUGGGUGUCCAACAAGUCACUUCUGACACCAGCCAGAGUUAGCAUAGACUCUGUAAGUUAAAUGAGCAGUGCCACAAGACUGCCCUCACUUCAGACAGUAGCCAAAAAUGAGGUAUCCAGGAUAUCUGCACUUGUGCCCUGUCAGCUACAAAUUAGGGGUUCCCACCCUUGUCAGGUUCAGUACACUAGAACAACUUAAAGAACUGAGGAAAGUGCUACAUUUACUAGUAUAGUUUUACUCUAAAGGAUACAACCCAGGGGCACCUGGCUGGCUCAGUUGGUAGAGCAUGUGACUCAUGAUCUCUGGGUUAAGUUUGUGCCCCGAGUUGGGUGAAGGAAUUACUUUAAAAUGUCUUUUAAAAAAUGCCAAAUGGAAAAGAUGUAUAGGGCAAAGGGAGUUGGGGGAGGUGGGCAGAGCUUCUGUGAACUUUUGGUGCUCUACUCUCCCUACACAGGAUGUGUUCACCAACCUGGAAGCUCUCUUAACCCUUUACCUUGUUUACUAAAUUUCAUUACCUAGAUGCGAUUGAUGAAAUCAUUGGCCAUUGACUAUUGAACUUACUCUCCAGCCUCUCCCUGGAUAUCUUGGGGUGUGGCUGAUUAUUCCAGCCCCCUAAUCAUGUGGUUGCUUGCACUGGUGACCAGUGCCAAGAUCACCUCAUUAGCAUAAACUCAGGUAUAGGCAAAAAGGAGCGUAUGACAAAAAACAUCUCAGGAAAUUCCAAGGAUCUUAAGAGCUCUGUGCCAAGAACCAGGGACAAGACUGAAUAUAUAUAUUUUUAUUAUACCUUACCUACAAUCCGAUUCAAAGGAAAACUAAACUGAACCCUAAUAGGAAUACAUUUAAAACCCAGAAGUCAGGCAGCCCCGGUGGCGUAGUGGCUUGGCGCCUGCCUUCGGCCCAGGACAUGAUCCCACGUCCGGCUUCCUGCAUGGAGCCUGCUUAAAAAGGCUGACUUCCUCAUACACUAUUGAAAGGAAUAUUAGUGUGGAAAUAUAUGUGCUUCUGUUUCUGCUACAUUCAACUUGAAAUUAAAGAUUUCAAGACCGAAAGGGUCUUUGAAGUUCUAGACUAUUUGCCCAUGUUAUAAUUGGAAUAAGGCAACAGUACCGAGGCCUAAAUGUAGAUCAAGUCCACAAGAAAAUCAAGUAUGUUUUAAUGUACAUCUUCAAUUGAACAUGAGUUGUUUUAAACACAUUAUCGGAAGGUCAUCAGUGUAUUCACAUGGAAAUAAUGUUUUAUAACUAUGUCAUACAAAAUUAAAAGGAAAUGCCUGACCUUAAAAGUUUAGCCUGAUUCUGUUGGAGAAAACUUAGCUUCACAUUCCUUAGGUUUAACACUCUUAAUUACAUCAAGAGAGGAGGGGAACCUAAGCUUAAUAUUUUUCAGAUAUGAUGUGCUGAGCUGUGCUAUGGCUCUUACACCAUUUGUCAUAAAAGACUUAAAAUGAGAAGCGGCAGGAAUUAAAAUUUAAACCCUCCCCACCACCACUACCAAUUAAUACAAUCCUUUGUAGUUGGAGACCUAGAAGUAUAUUGCUUUAAAAAGGUAACAGGAAAAAAAAAAUAAUAAAAAAA